CACACUGCAAGUCGAGCGGACGAAGGGAGCUUGCUCCUGAAUUCAGCGGCGGACGGGUGAGUAAUGCCUAGGAAUCUGCCUGGUAGUGGGGGACAACGUUUCGAAAGGAACGCUAAUACCGCAUACGUCCUACGGGAGAAAGCAGGGGACCUUCGGGCCUUGCGCUAUCAGAUGAGCCUAGGUCGGAUUAGCUAGUUGGUGAGGUAAUGGCUCACCAAGGCGACGAUCCGUAACUGGUCUGAGAGGAUGAUCAGUCACACUGGAACUGAGACACGGUCCAGACUCCUACGGGAGGCAGCAGUGGGGAAUAUUGGACAAUGGGCGAAAGCCUGAUCCAGCCAUGCCGCGUGUGUGAAGAAGGUCUUCGGAUUGUAAAGCACUUUAAGUUGGGAGGAAGGGUUGUAGACUAAUACUCUGCAAUUUUGACGUUACCGACAGAAUAAGCACCGGCUAACUCUGUGCCAGCAGCCGCGGUAAUACAGAGGGUGCAAGCGUUAAUCGGAAUUACUGGGCGUAAAGCGCGCGUAGGUGGUUUGUUAAGUUGGAUGUGAAAUCCCCGGGCUCAACCUGGGAACUGCAUCCCAAACUGGCAAGCUAGAGUAUGGUAGAGGGUGGUGGAAUUCCUGUGUAGCGGUGAAAUGCGUAGA
rnacentral:rRNA from 1 species